UACGUAGGGACCAAGCGUUGUUCGGAUUUACUGGGCGUAAAGGGCGCGUAGGCGGCAAUUCAAGUCAGCUGUGAAAUCUCCGGGCUUAACUCGGAACGGUCAGCUGAUACUGCUUUGCUAGAGUGCAGAAGGGGCAAUCGGAAUUCUUGGUGUAGCGGUGAAAUGCGUAGAUAUCGGAAGGAACAUCAGUGGCGAAAGCGGCUUCCUGGACCAGCACCGACGUUCAGGCACGAAAGCGUGGGGAGCAAACAGG
rnacentral:rRNA from 1 species